rnacentral:tRNA from 1 species
AUCUCAAUCAAAAAGUGGAUCCUUAUUUACGUCCGGUUUAUGACGCUUUGGGAGAAUGUAUCGGAGUAGAAAAAACCCAAGAGUAUAUUUCUUUAACUAAAA